rnacentral:rRNA from 1 species
UUCCGGUUGAUCCUGCCGGACCUGACUGCUAUCGGAUUGGUACUAAGCCAUGCGAGUCGUUGUAGCAAUACAAGGCAGACUACUCAGUAACACGUAGUUAAUCUACCCUAUGGAUGGGGAUAACCUCGGGAAACUGAGAAUAAUACCCGAUAGAUCACAGUGCCUGGAAUGGCCUGUGGUUGAAAUGAUUUAUCGCCGUAGGAUGAGACUGCGGCCUAUCAGCUAGUUGGUGAGGUAAUGGCCCACCAAGGCUAUAACAGGUACGGGCUCUGAGAGGAGGGGCCCGGAGAUGGGUACUGAGACACGGACCCAGGCCCUAUGGGGCGCAGCAGGCGAGAAACCUUUGCAAUGUGCGAAAGCACGACAAGGUUAAUCCGAGUGUCUCCUGCUAAAGGAGUCUUUUGCCAGUCCUAGAAACACUGGUGAAUAAGGGGUGGGCAAGUUCUGGUGUCAGCCGCCGCGGUAAAACCAGC